CAGUCGCCGCGGUAAUACGAGGGGGGCAAGCGUUGUUCGGAAUUAUUGGGCGUAAAGGGUGCGUAGGCGGUUUGGCAAGUUUGGUGUGAAAUCUUCGGGCUCAACUCGAAGUCUGCAUCGAAAACUGCCGGGCUUGAGUAUGGGAGAGGUGAGUGGAAUUUCCGGUGUAGCGGUGAAAUUCGUAGAUAUUCGGAGGAACACCAGUGGCGAAGGCGGCUCACUGGUCCAUUACUGACGCUGAGGUGCGAAAGCGUGGGGAGCAAACAGGAUUAGAUACCCCAGUAGUCCCUGUCUCUUAUAC
rnacentral:rRNA from 1 species